AAUUGAUUAAAAGCUGAUUCUGAAACAGCUGGGGUCAGCCAUCCAGGUGUGGCGGUGUCCUGGCUGCUGCUCAUCAAACCCAGCCCCGCCAUACAAAAGGAUGCGCCUGGGUGGGAGCUCUGCUAGGAACCAAAAAUGUGUUGUAGUAAUUGGGAACCCACCAAUGGUGACAAAAGGCCCCUCUCAGCUCCAGAGCUCCUGCUGGCACUUGGGUGCUGACUGCUGUGAACGAGGCUGCACACCAGCGUGUGGUAUCUGACAUCUCUUGUUUGAUUGGUACCUGUGGGAAUGGUCAAAUGUUUGCAUCUUGUACACAGAGAAUGCAAAAUUAACUUCAUUCUGCUUUGUUUGGCAGAGUCACAUCAAACCACCUGCAAGUCACCUCCCUUGCCUUUCUGGACGAUCCACAGCAGAGCCUGGGAAGAAUUUCUGCCUGUGAUUCUCAGAGGAAUCUCCACUGAACCCAGCACUUCACUCCAAAUGUGGCUGAGGGAAGAAAAUCUCAUGUGA
rnacentral:lncRNA from 1 species